ensembl:lncRNA novel transcript
ACCUUGGAAGGAGGCUUUCCCUUCCCCACCUCCCUCUCCCUCCAUCUGUUUCCUCUUUCCCUCUCUCCACUUCACUCCCGUCCCCCCAGCUCUUCUCUCCCAUCUUUUUGUUCUCUGUCUCCCUUUUUUUUCUGCAUUAAACCUUUCGGGAGUGUCUUUGUAAAAUAUUAAAAAGCGUUAGGUCUUCAACAUGUAUGUUUACUUGCAGGCCUGAGACCUGGGAGGAAGCUGGAGAAAAGAUGCCCUCUGAAUCUUUGUGUUUGGCUGCCCAGGCUCGCCUUGACACCGAAUGGUUGAAAACAGAUAUACAGAUGAUAGUGUCGAACCAAGUGAAACAAAGAAAGAAGAUCUGAAUGACAAAGAGAAAAAAGAUGAAGACGAAACUCCUGCACCUGUAUAUAGGGCCAAGUCAAUUCUGGAGACCUGGGCGUGGGGCAAGCAACCAGAUGUGAAAAGAGAGGUCCAAAGAACUCGAGCAAUUUUCCCUAAACCGUGUCCCUCGCAGAUGGAGAGAGAGAAUCAAGGAAAACUGAUGCUUCAGAAAGAUGCCCCAUAUGUAUCCUGUGGCACUCAAAGUACCCCAGGUUGAGAUGAGAUGAGGAAGAUUCAAGUUGUCAAGUCCAGUUUCCCAAGAUCUCUUGCACAGAAGAUGAGCAAAUCUCACUUCAAAGAUCACUGAGUGAUGGGCACUCUGGUCCCAGAACCAUGGAGAAUUCAAAUAUGAGGUGACAGAGCCCUCAAGGGGACAGAGCCCAUGCUCAUAACCAGAAGGAGCCCUGGCAUUCCCUGGACGUGAAGCACUAUUUGUCCAUUCAGCAAGAAUUACUCAACCCCUAUCUGCCAACCCAGAGGCCCAGUGAUGAACAGGACCAAUCCAGUUCUUGCCCCCAUGAGGCCUUCAUUUUGAUGGAACAAUCAGGCUCAAGAACCUCUUAAGGAGUUGCUAAGAGGUUCCUGAAUGAGUGGGCCCAAUUAACUGCAGUCAAGUCUGCUGUGCUGAGGCCUGGCAAAUCAGAAUUUCUGGAUCAAUUUGGAAACUAAGACUAGAAAAGAUCUGUGUUUCGUCAUCUGGAACCCAGGGAGAGGGUGAGGCACGUGGAGUUCCUUGACCCCUCAUCUUGCUGAAGCAGCAAGCAUGGCUAUUUAGAGCCUGUCUGCUUUGCACAUCCCAUGAGAGUGCAGUCAACAUCUGCUAGCCAUAGAUAAGACAAACUCUGUGGUUAUAAAAGACCCAAACUUCUGCUGUUCUAAGAGCUCCAUGACCCGGAGACGCCCCACCUCACUGCUGAGCAACAUCUUCCCUGCCCAAGUGCCACUCAAUAAAGCUUGUUGUACAAUA